rnacentral:misc_RNA from 1 species
AGCAGCCGCGGUAAUUCCAGCUCCAAUAGCGUAUAUUAAAGUUGUUGCAGUUAAAAGCUCGUAGUUGAAUUUCGGGAUUGACACAUCGGUCGUGCCUUAAGGGGUAUGAACUGGUGUAGUCAAUUUCUCACCUUCUGGAGAACCGCGAUGCCCUUAAUUGGGUGUCGCGGGGAACCAGGACCUUUACUUUGAAAAAUUAGAGUGUUUAAAGCAGGCAUUUUGCUUGAAUACAUUAGCAUGGAAUAAUAAAAUAGGACGGCAUGAUUCUAUUUUGUUGGUUUCUAGGAUCACCGUAAUGAUUAAUAGGGAUAGUUGGGGGCAUUAGUAUUCAAUUGUCAGAGGUGAAAUUCUUGGAUUUAUUGAAGACUAACUACUGCGAAAGCAUUUGCCAAGGAUGUUUUCAUUAAUCAAGAACGAAAGUUAGGGGAUCGAAGACGAUCAGAUACCGUCGUAGUCUUAACCAUAAAC